UUUUAAAUUAAGGUGUUGAUUCUGUAUAUAAUGAAAACACUGUGUUAUAUAAAGAUAAGUAUGAAGAAAUUAAAAAUAAAGAAAAAUAUAAAAAUAAAAUAUCUCAAGAACGAAGGGAAGCGCUUCAAAAACAAAAUAACAGAAAUGGUGAUAUACUAGCUUUUGAUCCUACUAGUAAAACGUAAAUCCCCAACUAAACCGUUACUGAUGAAUGUUUUUUUUUUUCUUUUUUUUUUUUUAAUAUUAACAAAAGAUAUGGAAAUAUAUUGUGCAUACAUCUAUGUGUAAUUUACGUAUUUUACUACAUCCAUCAAUAUGAUUUUAUAAAAAAGAGUGUACAUUUAUAAAUUUUUUAUUAUUUGUUUAACAAUAAUUGGACAAACUAUAUAUUGUGAAUUUUUUUAAAUUAUUUGAUUUUAUUUUUAAUACUGCGUUUGUUUAUAUAUUUUUAUAUUAUUUCGUUUAUCAAAUUAAACAUUACAAGUAAGCAAUUAUGGAAAAUAUAUAUAUAUAUAUGAA